rnacentral:sRNA from 1 species
AUAAAUAGUGAAAAUAUAUACCCUAAAUUGGAAAUAAAGAACCCAAAUAUAAUACUACAAACUAAUUGUGUUUGGCUUGAGUGUUGUGUGAAUGUUAAAUCCCGUUGGCUUUACUGUUGCUUCAUAAAUCUCUCAUAGAAAGUGUGCUUCAUAGACUAUGUUGUGUAUUGCUGAUUUUGGAAGGUGCAUAAUGUCCAAACACAAUCUAGUGGUUCAGUCUAUGAUUACAUUGCCUCCUACUAGAUACGGGAAAGAAGAUUGCAAGAUAUGUGGAUCAAUCAACAAUCAUUCAAAAUUUAGUUACUUGAAGACCGUUAAAGAAAUCCUCUCUGACUCUUUAUUCAGUAGGCUGAAAACUACUUUUCUUGUCCCAAUCAUCAAACAGGAUUGAGAAAAGCAACUGGUAAUCAAAAAGGAGUUAAUGGCUUGGGUUUUUCUGGUCAGCUGGUUUACUUUCUGGUAGUAAGACAACUUGUGUCGUCAAAGAAAGACGAGCUUUGGUUUUGCAUCAACAACAAGUCGAUGAGAUUUUCAUUGACUGAGGUUCAUCUUGUCACGGGAUUACCAUGUUGGAUAAAAGAAGAUGAAAUCUCAGUAGAUUUUGAGUGUGAUUGGCCUUUGUCUCCUUGCAAAACCCCUAUCAAGGUGGAUUAUUUGAUAGCACAAUUGAAGGUAUUGGAUGAUGAAGAAAGCAAGCUACAGCUUGUUAUGUUGAUUGUUAUUUUAAUCGUCUUCAUGUUGUCAUAUGGCAUUACAAAGCACUCGGUUCCGAAGGAAUUUUGGCUAAUGCGAAAAAGAAUAUUCAUGCGUAUCCUUGGGAAAAGAUGCAUUUGACAUGCUGGUAUCGUCGGUAAAGGAUGAUGAUAAUACGAAAAA